AAAAUGAAGAAGCUCUAAGCAUAGAGAUAAAUUGAAUUGUUCAACAAAAAAAGAGAGAGAUUCUAAGAUGGCUGCAGUACCAUGCAAACGCCUUAUUCUUGUGGCCUUCAUCAUUCUUUGCCUUUUCUCUACCACAACUAGAGCACGCAAUUUGCGAGUGGUAAGUAAAGGAUCCCAGAUGAGCCAUGAUGGUCCAUCAUCACCUAAAGAAGAGAGGAUUCCGGAAGUUGAUGUUGAUUACACUCCAGCAAGAAGGAAGCCUCCAAUACAUAACUAAAAUGCAAAUUUUGUUAAACAAGCAGUGGUUUAGUUAUUAAUGUUCCUAGUAUAGCUAGUUUGAGCGCAUAUGUAGCUUGAUAUAUAUAUUGCAGAAAUGUGAUUGGGGAAGAAAAAAAUUGAUCAUGUAAAAAUGUAAGCGGGAAAUAGAUCUGGUACUAUAUAUAUAUUAUCUUUGGAUCUUUUGCAAACUAGGGUUAUGGAAAGUUUUAUAUAGAAAAGCUGACUGUAACAUGCUA